GACGAACGCUGGCGGCGUGCCUAACACAUGCAAGUCGAACGGGGUUGAGCCCUUCGGGACUCGACUUAGUGGCGAACGGGUGAGUAACGCGUGAGAAACCUACCUUUCAGUGGGGGACAACAGUUGGAAACGACUGCUAAUACCGCAUGAUGUAUUCGGAGGGCAUCCUUUGAAUACCAAAGCUUUAUGUGCUGAAAGAUGGUCUCGCGUCUGAUUAGCUAGUUGGUGGGGUAACGGCUCACCAAGGCGACGAUCAGUAGCCGGUCUGAGAGGAUGAACGGCCACAUUGGGACUGAGAUACGGCCCAGACUCCUACGGGAGGCAGCAGUGGGGAAUAUUGGGCAAUGGGGGGAACCCUGGACCCAGCAACGCCGCGUGAAGGAAGAAGGCC
rnacentral:rRNA from 1 species